GCGGAGGUGGCGGAAUUGGUAGACGCGCUAGCUUCAGGUGCUAGUGUCCGAAAGGACGUGAGGGUUCAAGUCCCUCUCUCCGCA
rnacentral:tRNA from 2 species